rnacentral:misc_RNA from 1 species
CGCCGCCCGACACUGCGG